GAUGAACGCUGGCGGCGUGCCUAAUACAUGCAAGUCGAGCGAAGCGGGGACGGGUGAGUAAAACGUGGAUUACCUCCUAUAACACUAGGAUAACUUCGGGAAACCGGAGCUAAACCCGAUACAUAUGGUUUGAUGCGCGCUGCAUUAGCUAUUUGGUAAGGUAACGGCUAACCAAGGCAACGAUGCAUACCGGACCGGAGCGGGGUAUGGGCCACACGGGAACUGAGACACGGUCGAGACGCCUACGGGAGGCAGCAGUAGGAAAUCUGCCGCAAUGGGCGAAAGCCUGACGGAGAAACGCCGCGUGGUUGAUGAAGGGCUUCGGAUCGUAAAACUCUGUUAUUAGGGAAGCGGUACCUAAACAGAAAGCCACGGCUAACUACGUGCCAGCAGCCGCGGUAAUAC
rnacentral:rRNA from 1 species